CUCAGAUUCAUUGUUAGCAGAGACUGCUGUUAUGACUUGUUCUGGUUGAUUUUUAAGUUGGCUUCAAUUGAGUCCUAUAUAGCCUGAAAGAGAAAGUGAAAAUGCAUCUUGUACACAUGUGACAUCACAGAUUGUCAGAGCAUGGAAGCUAACGGAGUAUGAAAAUGAGCUGCAUUAAGAUCACUCAUGCAAUUUCUUUCAGUGCUAGUUCUUCUGAACACAGAGAUCAGAUUUUGGCUCUGAGAUAUUCAAUCAAUAUAUUCAAUAGAAAAAAGAUGCAAGUCCCAGCUAUAUCCUACAAUCAGCUUCAUGCUCAGCUGAGAGCUUCAUUGAAUGGUUUGUUGGGUUCAGUUAUUUCAGAAUGCUGUAGUACUCAUGAACUAGCAGCUAAAACAACACAGGCAAUGGUAAAUAUGUUUCCUCUCCACAUGAAUGGUAAGCAGCAUGGUUACCAUGCCAAUUACAGUGUUUGGAGUUUUAAUGCAUAUUUUUCAUUGGUGCUAUGAUGAAAGGCU
rnacentral:lncRNA from 1 species